rnacentral:rRNA from 1 species
CCUCACGCUAUUGGAUGAGCCUAAGUCGGAUUAGCUUGUUGGUGGGGUAAUGGCUCACCAAGGCGACGAUCCGUAGCUGGGUCUGAGAGGACGAUCAGCCACACUGGGACUGAGACACGGCCCAGACUCCUACGGGAGGCAGCAGUGGGGAAUAUUGGACAAUGGGCGCAAGCCUGAUCCAGCAAUGCCGCGUGUGUGAAGAAGGCCUGCGGGUUGUAAAGCACUUUCAGUAGAGAAGAAAAGCCUGAGGUUAAUACCCUCGAGUCUUGACGUAACCUACAGAAGAAGCACCGGCUAACUCCGUG